UUCAAAUCCUAUUUAAAGCCAAGCCUCUGACCUACCAAAAUCACUCUGGCUGCAAUGUUCCUUGGUUUUGUUCUGGCCUGCUGCAGCUGCUGGUGUGAUGCACUUCCUUACCGUGACGACAGCUCUCCCUGUUCAUGAAAGGAUCUAGCAAGCCAUCUAACUCAGCCUCUGGGAGACCCACACACAGUAUCAAGCAGUAAUCAAGUCACGAUUCUGGGGACAGUUCGGAAAGAUCCUUCUAGAUGUAUAUGCAGUCUGCCUGGGAUUUUUUCACCAUCCAGCGCUCUCUCUCUCUCUCAUUCAAUCCUGCAAAAGUAAUGGGAACCCGCAGCCUAAUGGAAUAUGGAGGACUAAAUGUGGGUGAACAAACAAACUUUCACCAGCUGAGAUGGGACUACUGAUGAUUGGUGGAUGUGCUGAUUCUGGGGAAAUUCUGAUACUGUCACCCACCCUACGUAAACAUAGUACCUGUUUGCCAGGCUGCAAGCAGGGAAGAGGAACAGGCAGGGAGUCAAACAGAGAAAUGGCUAA